GACGAACGCUGGCGGCGUGCUUAACACAUGCGAGUCGAACGGAAAGGCCCUGCUUUUGUGGGGUGCUCGAGUGGCGAACGGGUGAGUAACACGUGAGUAACCUGCCCUUGACUUUGGGAUAACUUCAGGAAACUGGGGCUAAUACCGGAUAGGAGCUCCUGCCGCAUGGUGGGGGUUGGAAAGUUUCGGCGGUUGGGGAUGGACUCGCGGCUUAUCAGCUUGUUGGUGGGGUAGUGGCUUACCAAGGCUUUGACGGGUAGCCGGCCUGAGAGGGUGACCGGCCACAUUGGGACUGAGAUACGGCCCAGCCUCCUACGGGAGGCAGCAGUGGGGAAUAUUGCACAAUGGGCGGAAGCCUGAUGCAGCAACGCCGCGUGCGGGAUGACGGCCUUCGGGUUGUAAACCGCUUUCGCCUGUGACGAAGCGUGAGUGACGGUAAUGGGUAAAGAAGCACCGGCUAACUACGUG
rnacentral:rRNA from 1 species